rnacentral:rRNA from 1 species
UAAUACGUAGAGUGCAAACGUUGUUCGGAAUCACUGGGCAUAAAGAGCUCGUAGGCGGCCGAAAAAGUCGGUUGUGAAAGCCCCUGGCUCAACCAGGGAAUUGCAGCCGAAACUGCUUGGCUUGAGUGUGAGAGAGGAGAGUGGAACUUCCAGUGGAGCGGUGAAAUGCGUAGAUAUUGGAAGGAACGCCAGUGGCGAAAGCGACUCUCUGGCUCACUACUGACGCUGAGGAGCGAAAGCUAGGGGAGCGAACGGGAUUAGAUACCCCGGUAGUCCUAGCCGUAAACGAUGGGCACUAAGUGGAGGGAUCCCUACCGAUCUCUCUUCUGUAGCAAAUGUAUUAAGUGCCCCGCCUGGGGAGUAUGGUCGCAAGGCUG